UGGGGAAUAUUGCACAAUGGGCGCAAGCCUGAUGCAGCCAUGCCGCGUGUAUGAAGAAGGCCUUCGGGUUGUAAAGUACUUUCAGCGGGGAGGAAGGUGUUGUGGUUAAUAACCACAGCAAUUGACGUUACCCGCAGAAGAAGCACCGGCUAACUCCGUGCCAGCAGCCGCGGUAAUACGGAGGGUGCAAGCGUUAAUCGGAAUUACUGGGCGUAAAGCGCACGCAGGCGGUCUGUCAAGUCGGAUGUGAAAUCCCCGGGCUCAACCUGGGAACUGCAUCCGAAACUGGCAGGCUUGAGUCUUGUAGAGGGGGGUAGAAUUCCGGGUGUAGCGGUGAAAUGCGUAGAGAUCUGGAGGAAUACCGGUGGCGAAGGCGGCCCCCUGGACAAAGACUGACGCUCAGGUGCGAAAGCGUGGGGAGCAAACA
rnacentral:rRNA from 1 species